UUAUUUGAGAGUUUGAUCCUGGCUCAGGAUGAACGCUGGCGGCGUGCCUAACACAUGCAAGUUGAGCGAUUUACUUCGGUAAAGAGCGGCGGACGGGUGAGUAACGCGUGGGUAACCUACCCUGUACACACGGAUAACAUACCGAAAGGUAUGCUAAUACGGGAUAACAUAUUUGAGAGGCAUCUCUUAAAUAUCAAAGGUGAGCCAGUACAGGAUGGACCCGCGUCUGAUUAGCUAGUUGGUAAGGUAACGGCUUACCAAGGCGACGAUCAGUAGCCGACCUGAGAGGGUGAUCGGCCACAUUGGAACUGAGACACGGUCCAAACUCCUACGGGAGGCAGCAGUGGGGAAUAUUGCACAAUGGGCGAAAGCCUGAUGCAGCAACGCCGCGUGAGUGAUGAAGGCCUUCGGGUCGUAA
rnacentral:rRNA from 1 species